GUCUUCGUGAUUUAAUAGUCAGCACACUCGGCGGCUAAUCGAGAGAUCCGAGGUUCGAGUCCCGGCGAGGACA
rnacentral:tRNA from 1 species